rnacentral:rRNA from 1 species
GAUGAACGCUGGCGGCGUGCCUAAUACAUGCAAGUCGAGCGAACGGACGCUAAUCUUGCUUCUCUGAUGUUAGCGGCGGACGUGUGUGUAACACGUGUAUAACCUACCUAUAAUUCUGGGAUAACUUCGUGAAACCGGAGCUUAUACCGUAUAAUCUUUUGAACCGCAUGGUUCAAAAGUGAAAGUCGGUCUUUCUGUCUCUUAUAGAUUGUUCCGCGCUGCAUUAGCUAGUUGGUAAGGUAACUGCUUACCAAGGCAACGUUGCAUAGCCGACCUGAGAGGGAGAUCGGACACACUGGAAGUGAGACACGGUCCAGACGCCUACGGGAGGCAGCAGAAGGGAAUCUGACGCAAUGGGCGAAAGCAUGACGGAGCAACGCCGCGUGAGAGAUGAAGGUCUUCGGAUCGGAAAACUCUGUUAUUAGGGAAGAACAUAUGUGGAAGUAACAGUGCACAUAGUGACGGUACCUAAUCAGAAAGCCACGGCUAACUACGUG